rnacentral:rRNA from 1 species
AUUGAACGCUGGCGGCAUGCCUUACACAUGCAAGUCGAACGGCAGCACGGGUGCUUGCACCUGGUGGCGAGUGGCGAACGGGUGAGUAAUACAUCGGAACGUACCUUAUCGUGGGGGAUAACGCAGCGAAAGCUGUGCUAAUACCGCAUACGCCCUGAGGGGGAAAGCGGGGGAUCGAAAGACCUCGCGCGAUUAGAGCGGCCGAUGCCUGAUUAGCUUGUUGGUGGGGUAAAAGCCCACCAAGGCGACGAUCAGUAGCCGGUCUGAGAGGACGAUCAGCCACACUGGGACUGAGACACGGCCCAGACUCCUACGGGAGGCAGCAGUGGGGAAUUUUGGACAAUGGGGGCAACCCUGAUCCAGCAAUGCCGCGUGAGUGAAGAAGGCCCUCGGGUUGUAAAGCUCUUUCGUCAGGGAAGAAACACCGGCUCUAACACAGUCCGGGAAUGACGGUACCUGAAGAAUAAGCACCGGCUAACUACGUGCCAGCAGCCGCGGUAA